GUGGCAUUACAGAUGUUGCUUGUUUGGCUCAGUCUUUGGCUAAAACAAAAGCUCUGCAGUUUUUAAAAGAGCUUGAUCUGAGUAACAAUAAAAUAGGAGACUCAAAGCAGCAGCUCAUUGAUGUGCUACGAGACUCAAACUGUGAACUGAGCCUGGAGAAAGAACAUUCGCUCUGGAGUGCUGGUGUGAACUACAUUAGUAGGUGGUUACCUUGGUCUAAAGCUCAGGAGGAUCCUGUGGAAUCAACAGAACAAGAAAAGUCACCGUCAGAUGAGGAAUCCUAAGAAGGUGAAACAGUGGAGGGAGUCGAGGCUGAUGAGCUCACAAAACAGGUGGAUUAGUAAGAAUACAAGUCUAUAGUAUAAGACCUUCAUCAUGAUGAUGUCAAGAUUAAACUCAUCCAUAAUGAAGCAAUUAAAAUAUUGCUAAUCAUGACUGUGAAUGUAAUUUAGCACUUGUAUAUGUCAAAUGACAAACUGAAAGUCUAAAAUGAAAAUCAAAUUAUUAUGGGCUACAUGUACACAGAUUCAAAUCAGUGAUC
rnacentral:lncRNA from 1 species